GUUAGCUAUGUUGAAAAGAACAAAGGCAAACACGGCGCUAGAGGUUGGGGUCUAGGGAUGGCAGAAGGUCAUUCUAUGCAUUCGAUGAAAGCUCAAUUUUUCAGGUUGGGAUAUGUGGAAAGUAAACCUGGAUUUGAAUGAAUGUGAUGCUGCGUUGAUCAGUUGUUCUCAUCCUUUCCAAAUAUGCAUAUUGAAGGGGUAGGAUUGGUCAUUUGGCACUUGUUAUAUGGAUCUUAAAGCUGUAAUUGGGCUGAGG